rnacentral:rRNA from 1 species
ACACCGGCACGGGGGUCAAGUGGUGGCCAUUUUUAUUGGGCCUAAAGCGUUCGUAGCCGGUUUGAUAAGUCUCUGGUGAAAUCUCACGGCUUAACCGUGAGAAUUGCUGGAGAUACUAUUAGACUUGAGGCCGGGAGAGGUUAGCGGUACUCCCAGGGUAGGGGUGAAAUCCUAUAAUCCUGGGAGGACCACCUGUGGCGAAGGCGGCUAACUGGAACGGACCUGACGGUGAGUAACGAAAGCCAGGGGCGC